UUACGGUAAUAUCACAGCGACACGCCAGUUCUCAUCCAAUCACCGAAGUUAAGCAACGUCGAUCCUGGUCAGUACCUAGAUUGGUGAUCGCUUUACAAUACCUGAUGCUGUAA